rnacentral:misc_RNA from 1 species
UACGUAGGGGGCAAGCGUUGUCCGGAUUUAUUGGGCGUAAAGAGCGUGUAGGCGGCUAGAUAGGUCCGUUGUGAAAACUCGAGGCUUAACCUCGAGACGUCGAUGGAAACCAUCUGGCUAGAGUCCGGAAGAGGAGAGCGGAAUUCCUGGUGUAGCGGUGAAAUGCGCAGAUAUCAGGAAGAACACCCGUGGCGAAGGCGGCUCUCUGGGACGGUACUGACGCUGAGACGCGAAAGCGUGGGGAGCGAACAGG